AGCUAAGUGUGGUGUAGUGGUCUGAGUGUUGGACUGCAACUCUGGAUACCAGGGUUCAAUUCCCCGCUUGGCCA